CUCCCAUGAAGCUCAGGCAGCCAGGCAGGUGAAGCACCAGGUAAGACUCGUCCACAGCAAUUGCUCACAUUCCUGCUCCCUACUUUGGCCACUCACUCACUCAGUCAGUCACUCACUCACUCACUCACUCACUGAGUCCUGCUGGUCGUUAUCUCCCCAGCGCGUGUCUGUCACUCGCAAUGAAAACAAAGCAUGACAUUACCUGUGACUUUC